UCCGUUAUUAAUGAAAUGCUGAAUAUGGAGCGUCUCCAGACCCUGAACAUGGUAGGUGCAGAAUAGAUGACAGCCAUCCUUAUCAUGAGGACAAAUCCAAAGCCACCGAGCCCUCAGCUCAGUCUACUCUGCACUGAAUUUGAGAAAAUGGGCUGAAAUGAAUUAGGCUAGCUACCUGCAAAGGUAAUCCAUUUAUUUACCCAUUUGUUGUUAUAAUAACAAGAGCAAAAGGAAAUUAACUUGAGUCUAGAUGCCCAACCUCUUCCUCUCUCAGAGGAGCACCUCAAACAAAUGAGCAGUUCGGCUCCUGUUCAGGAAGAAAACAUGGGAACUCACACCCGCUGAGAGCAAUAGAAAUUAAUCAGAAUUACAGAUCAUGUUAGUAAGAGGUUACUUUGGAAUUCUGAGAACAGUUUUAGUUAUGGUUGAUUUAGGCUAGUGUGAGAUUGUAAACAAAACAUGCCUUCGGUCUGUAAGUCCCGUAGCUUCUUUGGGGGUAAUUUUAAAGAAAUACAGCAGUGCGUAGAGUUACAGCUCUCCAUGACCUUCCACGAAUGCCGAUGCACAUCUGGGCCAAUCAAAGGUGAUACUACACUCAGUAAAAGCUUGGUAUAAAGUGGUUUUUCUACUGCAUUGAAUUUGCUGUCCCCUAGAAAAGGGCUAACAUCCCCAUUCCUGAGCAUUGGAUAGUAUUUCAAGUGCCAUUUGCUUUACCCAAAUCAAGUCCUUAAAAGUGGCAGUUCUAGGGGAGCCAGGGUGGCUCAACCAGGGUGGUUAAGUGUCCAGUUCUUGAUUUCGGCUCAGGUCAUGAUCUCAUGGUUGUGAGAUCGAUCCCUGCGUUGAGCUCCACGCUGUGCUUCGAGCCUGCUUGGGAUUCUGUCUCUCCCUCUUUCCCUGCCCCUUUCCUGCUCUCUCUCUCUCUUCCUCUCUCUCUCUAAAAAAAAGUGGCAGUUCUAUUUUCUGAACUCAUAGGCGAUAUAGCAUGUGGACCAACAGCUUCGGACCCCAACCCUGGUUCUAGUCGAUCCUAAUCAUGUGACCAGUUCCCACAUCUGGAAAAGGAGAGUAAUUGCAGAAGGUGCCUCAUGAGGGAGAAGGAAGCCGAGCUAAUGCCUAUGAUAUAUUUUGCUUACCGCCUGGCACAUAGAAUUACUGACUGAGAAACUGAUCUUUGGCAGAGAAGAGCUGCAUGAACAUAACCCCUUGAUCUACUAUUGGGUCAGCUGGUUCCUUAAGAGACUGCUGUUGUGUGAAGGCAAGACCCCAGGACCCUGAGAACAGAAGGCCAAGGUUGGAAUCCCAACUCUGCUAUCACCACCGUGUGACCUUGGACAGGUCAGAGUCAUCUCCCCAAGGCUCAAUGUCCAAAUUCUCUUUUGAGAUCAUGCAGGCUGACAUACUCUUGGGGACACAACUGAAGGAAGAAUUCAAGGAGGAGCCAUCCCCAUGAGACUUGGACUGCCUCAUGAGCUCAGGUUGCAGACAGAACUUCAAUGACACCAAUGUCACCAUUGCGAGUUCACGGCAAAGGAAUCAUUUCGGAGUCUCUACUUGUAGAUUCCAUUAAAAUAAAAUAGGGCUUUAAAGUUUUCUAAGACCUCUAUCUCAUAGUUUUUCAUUAAUAAGAAUUGCAGUAUCACUUAAAUAUAUAAUCUUCUUGGAGCUAUAAAGUCCAGCUGG